ACGGAAGGCAGCAGUGGGGAAUAUUGGUCAAUGGGCGGAAGCCUGAACCAGCCAAGUCGCGUGAAGGAAGACGGUAUUAUGUAUUGUAAACUUCUUUAGCAGUAGAGCAAUAACCCCCUUGCGAGGGGGGAUGAGAGUAUACUGAGAAUAAGCAUCGGCUAACUCCGUGCCAGCAGCCGCGGUAAUACGGAGGAUGCGAGCGUUAUCCGGAUUUAUUGGGUUUAAAGGGUGCGCAGGCGGUUCUUUAAGUCAGUGGUUAAAUCGUGGGGCUCAACCCCAUCACGCCAUUGAUACUGGAGGACUUGAUUGCGGUUGAGGUAGGCGGAAUUCGUCGUGUAGCGGUGAAAUGCAUAGAUAUGACGAAGAACCCCGAUUGCGUAGGCAGCUUAUCAAGCCGUAAAUGACGCUCAUGCACGAAAGUGCGGGGAUCGAACAGGAUUAGAUACCCUGGUA
rnacentral:rRNA from 1 species